AUUGAACGCUGGCGGCAGGCUUAACCCAUGCAAGUCGAACGAGUGGCGGACGGGUGAGUAAUGUUUGGGAAACUAGCUUAUGGAGGGGGAUAACUACGGGAAACUGUAGCUAAUACCGAGUACCAUAGGAUGAGCCCCUGUGGGAUUAGGUAGUUUGUGAGGUAAAGGCUCACCAAGCCGACGAUCCCUAGCUGUUCUGAGAGGAUGACCAGCCAAACUGGAAUUGAGACACGGGCCAGAGUCCUUCGGGAGGCAGCAGUGCGGAAUAUUGCGCAAUGGGUGCAACCCUGAGGCAGCCAUGCCGCGUGUAUGAAGAAGGCCUUAGUGUUGUAAAGUACUUUCAGCGGUGAGGCGUUACCCGCAGAAUAAGCACCGGCUAACUCCGUGCUAGCAGCCGCGGUAAUAC
rnacentral:rRNA from 1 species